rfam:Gossypium raimondii Chr08_contig_692, whole genome shotgun sequence.
AAUGGGAGGAUGACAAAUCAGAUUUUUCCUCCUGAUUUUUAGCAUUUUUAGUUGGAUUUGAUUUUUUUUCAGGAGGAAAAAGCUGAAAAUCAGGAGGAAAAAUCUGAUUUGUCAUCCUCCCAUU